UACGUAGGUCCCAAGCGUUGUUCGGAUUCAUUGGGCGUAAAGGGUGUGUAGGUGGCGCCGUAAGUGGGGUGUGAAAUUUCGGAGCUUAACUCCGAAACUGCAUUCCAUACUGCGGUGCUUGAGGACUGGAGAGGAGACUGGAAUUUACGGUGUAGCAGUGAAAUGCGUAGAGAUCAUGAGGAAGACCAGUGGCGAAGGCGGGUCUCUGGACAGUUCCUGACACUGAGGCACGAAGGCCAGGGGAGCAAACAGG
rnacentral:rRNA from 1 species